UAGCGGCAGGCUAACACAUGCAAGUCGAGGGGCAACGCGAGUAGCAAUACUUGGCGGCGACCGGCGCAAGGGUGCGUAACGCGUGAGCAACAUGCCCGUAUCAGGGGGAUAAUCCAGGGAAACUUGGUCUAAUACCCCAUAGUAAUUUUGUAAGGCAUCUUAUAAGAUUUAAAGCUUUGGUGGAUACGGAUUGGCUCGCGUGACAUUAGCUGGAUGGUAAGGUAACGGCUUACCAUGGCUAUGAUGUCUAGGGGUUCUGAGAGGAAGGUCCCCCACACUGGAACUGAGACACGGUCCAGACUCCUACGGGAGGCAGCAGUGAGGAAUAUUGGACAAUGGAUGGAAAUCUGAUCCAGCCAUGCCGCGUAGAAGGAAGAAGGUCCUAUGGAUUGUAAACUUCUUUUGUAUGGGAGCAAUAAGGCCUACGUGUAGGUUGAUGAGAGUACCAUACGAAUAAGCACCGGCUAACUCCGUGCCAGCAGCCGC
rnacentral:rRNA from 1 species